rnacentral:sRNA from 1 species
AGCAGCCGCGGUAAUUCCAGCUCCAAUAGCGUAUAUUAAAGUUGUUGCAGUUAAAAAGCUCGUAGUUGAAUUUCGGGAUUGACACAUCGGUCGUGCCUUAAGGGGUAUGAACUGGUGUAGUCAAUUUCUCACCUUCUGGAGAACCGCGAUGCCCUUAAUUGGGUGUCACGGGGAACCAGGACCUUUACCUUGAAAAAAUUAGAGUGUUUAAAGCAGGCAUUUUGCUUGAAUACAUUAGCAUGGAAUAAUAAAAUAGGACGGCAUGAUUCUAUUUUGUUGGUUUCUAGGAUCACCGUAAUGAUUAAUAGGGAUAGUUGGGGGCAUUAGUAUUCAAUUGUCAGAGGUGAAAUUCUUGGAUUUAUUGAAGACUAACUACUGCGAAAGCAUUUGCCAAGGAUGUUUUCAUUAAUCAAGAACGAAAGUUAGGGGAUCGAAGACGAUCAGAUACCGUCGUAGUCUUAACCAUAAACUAUGCCGACUAGGGAUCAGACGAUGUUAAUUUUUUAAUGACUCGUUUGGC